CAAAUCAGGUAGGACUACCCGCUGAACUUAAGCAUAUCAAUAAGCGGAAGAAA
rnacentral:rRNA from 1 species